rnacentral:rRNA from 1 species
AUGAACGCUGGCGGCGUGCCUAAUACAUGCAAGUCGAGCGAACGGACGAGAAGCUUGCUUUUCUGAUGUUAGCGGCGGACGGGUGAGUAACACGUGGAUAACCUACCUAUAAGACUGGGAUAACUUCGGGAAACCGGAGCUAAUACCGGAUAAUAUUUUGAACCGCAUGGUUCCAAAGUGAAAGACGGUCUUGCUGUCACUUAUAGAUGGAUCCGCGCUGCAUUAGCUAGUUGGUAAGGUAACGGCUUACCAAGGCAACGAUGCAUAGCCGACCUGAGAGGGUGAUCGGCCACACUGGAACUGAGACACGGUCCAGACUCCUACGGGAGGCAGCAGUAGGGAAUCUUCCGCAAAGGGCGAAAGCCUGACGGAGCAACGCCGCGUGAGUGAUGAAGGUCUUCGGAUCGUAAAACUCUGUUAUUAGGGAAGAACAUAUGUGUAAGUAACUGUGCACAUCUUGACGGUACCUAAUCAGAAAGCCACGGCUAACUACGUG